UUGAAGAUCUUCUUCAUGUUCAUCGGACGGUUAUAGAUCCGAAACAGACCCAUAAAAGAUAUUCAAUUGAUAAGCUGGAUGGAUGAAGGCGACGUUAAUGCGAGGACAUUGAAUAAGUCACAUCCUUUGGAAAAGAAGUCUUCGUUCAUUUAUAAUAUGUGUUGGUGGUUCAUGCUG